rnacentral:rRNA from 1 species
UACGUAGGGGGCAAGCGUUGUCCGGAAUCAUUGGGCGUAAAGAGCGUGUAGGCGGCUUGGUAAGUCCGCUGUGAAAGUCCAGGGCUCAACCCUGGAAAGCCGGUGGAAACUGUCAAGCUCGAGUCCGGAAGAGGCGAGUGGAAUUCCUGGUGUAGCGGUGGAAUGCGCAGAUAUCAGGAGGAACACCAAUAGCGAAAGCAGCUCGCUGGGACGGUACUGACGCUGAGGUGCGAAAGCUAGGGGAGCGAACAGG